rnacentral:rRNA from 1 species
AGAACGAACGCUGGCGGCAGGCUUAACACAUGCAAGUCGAACGCACCGCAAGGUGAGUGGCAGACGGGUGAGUAACGCGUGGGAAUCUACCCAACCCUUCGGAAUAGCUCCGGGAAACUGGAAUUAAUACCGAGUACGCCCUACGGGGGAAAGAUUUAUCGGGGUUGGAUGAGCCCGCGUUGGAUUAGCUAGUUGGUGGGGUAAUGGCCUACCAAGGCGACGAUCCAUAGCUGGUCUGAGAGGAUGAUCAGCCACACUGGGACUGAGACACGGCCCAGACUCCUACGGGAGGCAGCAGUGGGGAAUAUUGGACAAUGGGCGCAAGCCUGAUCCAGCCAUGCCGCGUGAGUGAUGAAGGCCCUAGGGUUGUAAAGCUCUUUCAGUGGGGAAGAUAAUGACGGUACCACAGAAGAAGCCCGGCUAACUUCGUGCCAGCAGCCGC